rnacentral:rRNA from 1 species
GAUGAACGCUGGCGGCGUGCCUAAUACAUGCAAGUCGAGCGAACAGACGAGGAGCUUGCUCCUCUGACGUUAGCGGCGGACGGGUGAGUAACACGUGGAUAACCUACCUAUAAGACUGGGAUAACUUCGGGAAACCGGAGCUAAUACCGGAUAAUAUAUUGAACCGCAUGGUUCAAUAGUGAAAGACGGUUUUGCUGUCACUUAUAGAUGGAUCCGCGCCGCAUUAGCUAGUUGGUAAGGUAACGGCUUACCAAGGCAACGAUGCGUAGCCGACCUGAGAGGGUGAUCGGCCACACUGGAACUGAGACACGGUCCAGACUCCUACGGGAGGCAGCAGUAGGGAAUCUUCCGCAAUGGGCGAAAGCCUGACGGAGCAACGCCGCGUGAGUGAUGAAGGUCUUCGGAUCGUAAAACUCUGUUAUUAGGGAAGAACAAAUGUAGUAACUAUGCACGUCUUGACGGUACCUAAUCAGAAAGCCACGGCUAACUACGUG